AAGUCGUAACAAGGUUUCCGUAGGUGAACCUGCGGAAGGAUCAUUAACACGUAUCCACGUAUCAACCCCUUGUGCUCAUUUACGUUUUGGUUAACCCUGUUUGUGAAGUGAACGAUUGGCCGAUGAUUUCGGUUGUUGGCUCUUUGUUCAUUUCGCCAGGGCUUUCUAUUACAACUUAUAAACCCCUUUGUACCUUAUCUUGCUAACGCAAUGUGAAGCGUCGGGCGCUUUCGGGCGGCCUGAUCUUCAUGAUUACGAAAUGCUUGACAACUCUUAGCAACGGAUAUCUUGGUUCUC
rnacentral:misc_RNA from 1 species